UUCUUUUUCUAAAAGAGUUCUCUUAAUUUAAUUUGAUUUGAAAAUAAAUAAAUGAAUUUUAAUUAGAUUUCUAAGAUAAUUAAAUAUAGCAAUCUUAGAAUAGCUAGAAAGCAAUGUAUUCAUAUAUAUUUUUUAAGGCUGUUCUGCCAGUACUAUAACCCUAAUUCAAGCAAGUAUACUAUUUAGUUCUUGUUUAUUAAUCGAUAUUUACUCUGCUAAAGAAGUUGCAUAAAUAAACACUGACCCAGAUGGCAAAAAUCAGUAGUACUUUAAUGUAGACCAAUAUAAAAUUGUACAUUGCUGUUAAAAUUGUGAUAUUUUCUGAAGGUUUAUGCGCAAUCAUGCAAAACCAUACGAAAAUGUACAAAAUUGUACAGAAACAUAUGGAAAUGUACAAUCACAUAUAAAAUUGUGACCAAAGAAAAAGAUGUAUAGGCAUUAAAAGGAAGUCAGAGCCAUGUUAAUAGGUUCAAGAGAUACCUAACCCUAAAAAUUGUUUAAAUCAUAAAUAAUAAAUCAUUCUACUUGCUUAUAGCUUCAAAAUGUAGUGUUUAAUGGUUGCUAUUAUAAUAAUUUAUAUUAAUUAAGUCUUAUUUUUGUAUAAUUAUGCAUAAUUUUUGCAAAUAACGAAAACUACCCAAAUAAAAUUCAUUAGUAUGAUAAGGCAACCAAACUUUGUUGUAUUUUAGUACAUUCGCAUACGUUUGGGUACGAUUUUGUUGGGAUUCGAAUAUUUUGUACCACAGCGUACGGAAACAUACGUAAAAGUAUGCGAAUGUACGUGAACAUAUGUAAACGUACACGAAUAUACGCAUGUGUACUGAAAAGUA